GGGUGAGUAAUGCAUCGGAACGUACCCAUUUGUGGGGGAUAACUAUCCGAAAGGAUAGCUAAUACCGCACAAGUCCUGAGGGAGAAAUCAGGGGAUCGCAAGACCUUGCGCGAAUGGAGCGGCCGAUGCCGGAUUAGCUAGUUGGUAGGGUAAAGGCCUACCAAGGCGACGAUCCGUAGCGGGUCUGAGAGGAUGAUCCGCCACACUGGAACUGAGACACGGUCCAGACUCCUACGGGAGGCAGCAGUGGGGAAUUUUGGACAAUGGGCGCAGGCCUGAUCCAGCCAUUCCGCGUGAGUGAAGAAGGCCUUCGGGUUGUAAAGCUCUUUCGGCAGGAACGAAACGGUGGGGGCUAAUACCCCCUGCUAAUGACGGUACCUGAAGAAGAAGCACCGGCUAACUACGUGCCAGCAGCCGCGGUAAUACGUAGGGUGCGAGCGUUAAUCGGAAUUACUGGGCGUAAAGCGUGCGCAGGCGGUUAUGUAAGACAGAUGUGAAAUCCCCGGGCUUAACCUGGGAACUGCGUUUGUGACUGCAUAACUCGAGUGUGGCAGAGGGGGGUGGAAUUCCACGUGUAGCAGUGAAAUGCGUAUAGAUGUGGAGGAACACCGAUGGCGAAGGCAGCCCCCUGGGUCAACCUGACGCUCAUGCACGAAAGCGUGGGUAGCAAACAGGAUUAGAUACCCUGGUAGUCCACGCCCUAAACGAUGCGAACUAGGUGUUGGAGAAGGAGACUUCUUUAGUACCGCAGCUAACGCGUGAAGUUCGCCGCCUGGGGAGUACGGUCGCAAGAUUAAAACUCAAAGGAAUUGACGGGGACCCGCACAAGCGGUGGAUGAUGUGGAUUAAUUCGAUGCAACGCGAAAAACCUUACCUACCCUUGACAUGCCAGGAAUCCUGAAGAGAUUUGGGAGUGCUCGAAAGAGAGCCUGGACACAGGUGCUGCAUGGCUGUCGUCAGCUCGUGUCGUGAGAUGUUGGGUUAAGUCCCGCAACGAGCGCAACCCUUGUCAUUAGUUGCCAUCAUUUAGUUGGGCACUCUAAUGAGACUGCCGGUGACAAACCGGAGGAAGGUGGGGAUGACGUCAAGUCCUCAUGGCCCUUAUGGGUAGGGCUUCACACGUCAUACAAUGGUCGGUACAGAGGGUUGCCAAGCCGCGAGGUGGAGCCAAUCCCAGAAAGCCGAUCGUAGUCCGGAUCGGAGUCUGCAACUCGACUCCGUGAAGUCGGAAUCGCUAGUAAUCGUGGAUCAGCAUGUCACGGUGAAUACGUUCCCGGGUCUUGUACACACCGCCCGUCACACCAUGGGAGUGGGUUUCACCAGAAGUAGGUAGCCUAACCGCAAGGAGGGCGCUUACCACGGUGGGAUUCAUGACUGGGGUGAAGUCGUAACAAGGUA
rnacentral:rRNA from 1 species